rnacentral:misc_RNA from 1 species
AAGUCGUAACAAGGUUUCCGUAGGUGAACCUGCGGAAGGAUCAUUAAAAAUAUUAAAAAAAAAUCAUUAUGAUUUUGUUUUUUUUUUUACAAUCUAUUCACUCUUUGUCCUACUUUGUAGAGUAUAAUAUAUAUUGUAUAUAUAUAUCUUUGCUUUGUAUGGCAAGGCUGUGGAGAUUAGUUAACUACAUUUGAGAGGGUUUGUUUGUAGAGAAGAAAAUGAAAAGGAGUAAUUUUUUUAUUCUUUUUUUGUUUUCUAAUUUACACAUUCCUAAUCAGAAUCCGAAUAAACUUCUAUAUAAUCUAUAUAACUUUCAACAACGGAUCUCUUGGUUCUC